UUUCGCAAUGCCCGAAAGGGUGACGAAGCGACGCCGCGUGAGCGAAGAAGGCCCUAGGGUUGUAAAGCUCCGUCAGGGGUUAUGAAAUGUAGAUGAGAUAAUACCUCAUUUAUUUGACAAAGGCCCCAAAGGAAGCCACGGCUAACUCUGUGCCAGCAGCCGCGGUAAUACAGAGGUGGCGAGCGUUGUUCGGUAUUAUUGGGCGUAAAGAGCACGUAGGUGGUUUUGUAAGUCAGGUGUGAAAGCCUUCUAUUCAAAGGAAGAACGGCAUCUGAAACUGCGGAUCUUGAGUGUAGGAGGGGAGAGUGGAACUUCUGGUGGAGCGGUGAAAUGCGUAGAUAUCAGAAGGAACGUCGGCGGCGAAAGCGACUCUCUGGCCUAUUACUGACACUGAGUGUGCGAAAGUUAGGGGAGCAAACGGGAUUAGAUACCCCCGUAGUCCUAACCGUAAACGAUGGGCACUAAGUAGAGGGGUUUU
rnacentral:rRNA from 1 species